GGGGGUGAACAGGAUUUGACGGAAGUGGUAUAGGUAAUGACAGCAGGUCGGAGUUGGUCGAUGGCUCCGCAAAAAUCGACUGAAAAAUAAACAACAAAAAGAAUUCUGUCCUUGUACAACCAAUGCUAAAGACUUUUGGCUUUAGUCCUAUGUUUGUACUUCCACUUGUUGCUUAACGUGACAAAUUUUACCUUAGACACCUGCUAUAGGGAUAAAAUGACAAGAGCAGGUUAGUUUUAAACAGCUUGUGUGCCGUAAGUUUAAAACAAAAAUAAAAGGCACUGGUUUAUAGCAUAGUAUGCCCGAUUACGGUGUUAUAAAACGAGAUAAAUUUCGGGCUAAACCUGUAGCUAAGUCUUACUAAACACUUUCGGACGCGGGUUCGAUUCCCGCCACCUCCACUA
rnacentral:tmRNA from 1 species